rnacentral:rRNA from 1 species
CAUGGCUCAGAAUCAACGCUGGCGGCGUGCCUCAGACAUGCAAAGUCGAACGAUUAAGACUUCCUUCGGGAAGUGCAUAAAAGUGGCGCACGGGUGAGUAACACGUAAGUAAUCUACCCUCGAGUGGGGAAUAACGUUCGGAAACGGACGCUAAUACCGCAUAACGCAGCGGCACCGCAAGGUGACAGUUGUUAAAGGAGCAAUCCGCUUGAGGAGGAGCUUGCGGCAGAUUAGCUAGUUGGUAGGGUAAUGGCUUACCAAGGCUACGAUCUGUAUCCGGUCUAAGAGGACGGUCGGACACACUGACACUGAAUAACGGGUCAGACUCCUACGGGAGGCAGCAGUCGGGAAUUUUGGGCAAUGGGCGAAAGCCUGACCCAGCAACGCCGCGUGAAGGAUGAAGUAUUUCGGUAUGUAAACUUCGAAAGAAUAGGAAGAAUAAAUGACGGUACUAUUUAUAAGCUCCGGCUAACUACGUG